rnacentral:lncRNA from 1 species
AUAAGGCUAAAAUUCUGGCCUUCUUAGAAGCCCUAUUCGUGCCCAAAAGACUGAGUAUUAUACAUUGUCCAGGACACCAGAAAGGGCACAACCCAGAGACACGAAGAAACCGGCUGGCCGAUGCCACGGCGCGAGAAGCGGCCAUGAACAAACAAAUCUUGCCCUUAAAUAGCCCAGACCAACCCACGCCCCCACCAGUGGGACAAACUAGUUGGGUUUAUGCCCAUGAGGACAUAGAGCUCCUAGAAAAAAAUGGGGGCCAUCUACCACCCUCAACUAAAACAGUGGGUCUACAAAGGACUUUUGAAUUGAUCUCCUUUUUACAUAAGAAGAUAAAAACCUUACUAGAUCGAGAAGAGAUAAAUCUGUGUUUUUUUUUGAAUUGGGACAAAGCGAUACAAAAGGUGACUGAGAGUUACAAAGCGUGCGCUCAGGUUAACCUGGGAAGGACCAUGAUUAGACAAGGAGUUCGUCCUAGGGGACACCGUCCCGACAUCCAUUGGGAAAUUGAUUUUACUGAAAUUAAACCAGGUAUAUAUAGAUACAAGUAUCUCCUAGUGUUUGUAGACACCUUCUCAGGAUGGGUCGAAGCCUUCCCCACAAAGCACGAGACUACAAAAAUGGUCACCAAGAAGCUCCUCGAAGAAAUCUUUCCCAGCCCUUCUCUGAGGGCCCAUUUACAGGCCCUACAGAUUGUGCAGAGAGACGUCUGGAGACCUUUGGCCGCUGCUUACCAGGACAAGCUUGAGCAUCCGGUGGUGCCACACCCGUUCCAGAUUGGAGACACCGUGUGGGUACACAGACACCAGACCAAGAAUCUCGAGCCACGGUGGAAAGGACCCUACA